UACGGAGGGGGCAAGCGUUACUCGGAAUUAUUGGGCGUAAAGGGCGCGUAGGCGGUCGUGUGCGUCGGAGGUGAAAUCCCCGGGCUUAACCCGGGACGCUGCCUCCGAUACUGGCAAUCUCGAGUUCGGAAGAGGUUGGUGGAACAGCUAGUGUAGAGGUGAAAUUCGUAGAUAUUAGCUAGAACACCAGUGGCGAAGGCGGCCAACUGGUCCGACACUGACGCUGAGGUGCGAAAGCGUGGGGAGCAAACAGGAUUGAGAACUACCGGUAGUCCAAGACCAACGGUCU
rnacentral:rRNA from 1 species